rnacentral:lncRNA from 1 species
UAUAGGGAGGUGGACCAUUUAGUCCAGGGCCCCACACUGGUUAACCAGUUCUGUUACUGACAAAGCUGGUCCCCUAUAAGAUGGAGUCUUUCCCUGUUCAGUGUCAUGAAACCAAAUGUGGGAAACUGAAAGUGAUUUUCAAGCAGUACAGACUUAUUUAAUGGUCAUGGAAUUGAGAAGUGGGAGCAUGGCUCAUGAGUCAACUUCUUGACUAGCAAAUGGGGCAUAUUGUCCUGGAAUUAUGGCCAACAUUCUACAGGGCAACAGGUCAUUGAUUCUGAUCCUGCCAGCCUCCACCCAUCUUAUUGGUGGGCAUCAUCCCAGGGUGAACCUGUGAAAGAUAUUGCUUAGUACUGCUUGGAGCUAUUUUUAGCCUCUGUGGACAGCUCCAUAGGGAGAAUGAACUAUUCGUCAACGUCACCCAUAUUUUACUGAAGAUUUUGAAGGUAUUCCAAUGUGACUGACUACUACGUUUCCUCACAUGUGUGCUGCUGUAUCUGAGAUCACCAUGUUUUCAAUUAUCUCAUAUGAACCUGUUUCUGUUCAGAAAAAAUCCUUCCCUGGUGAUCCUAUUGUGGUAGACAUAAAACUGUGCCACCCAGAUCCCAUUCCAGGGAAGAAUAUGCUGCUGAGCUGUUGGAAGUACAAUCAGUGGAAAACCUUGGUCUGUCAGCAACUUCAAGGUUUGCCUCCUUUGCAGAAAUGGUCCAUUCAAAGUCAUGCCCUUCCUAUAGCAGUCUACAUUCAACCACUGAGUGAGGCAGAAAUAAAAAAGUGCUGAUAAUUUUCAACCUACAAGGGCAUUAAUGAGCAAUACCUGCUCCAGAGCUCCACAGUGGGUUCUCAGAAGAUGUGUCUUGCCUGCAGCACAGCUUGACUCCUUCCACUAUUCAUUUUUUCUUCUUUUCCUUUUACUUCAGAGGCAUUAAAAAUGAAUAAAAAUCUUGAA